rnacentral:sRNA from 1 species
CUGAGGCGAGCUGGGCGUUGUGAGGGGACUGCUACAGGCGGCGGUGACUUUCCGCUGUGAGGAAACUCAGAGCGUGUGGACCCCAAACAAGUCUGCGCAAAAUUUGUCGAGGAGGUUGGCCGCGGCAGAAAAGUUUUCUUCAAAAAUGGAUGGGGUGUCUUCAGAGGCUAAUGAAGAAAAUGACAAUAUAGAGAGACCUGUUAGAAGACGGCAUUCUUCAAUUUUGAAACCCCCAAGGAGUCCUCUUCAGGACCUCAGAGGUGGGAAUGAAACAGUUCAGGAAUCCAAUGCUUUGAGAAAUAAGAAAAACUCUCGUCGCGUCAGCUUUGCAGAUACUAUAAAGGUAUUCCAGACGGAGUCUCAUAUGAAAAUAGUGAGAAAGUCAGAAAUGGAAGAAACAGAAGCAGGAGAAAAUCUUCUUUUGAUACAGAAUAAGAAAUUAGAAGAUAAUUACUGUGAAAUUACUGGGAUGAACACCUUGCUUUCUGCUCCCAUUCAUACCCAGAUGCAACAGAAGGAGUUUUCAAUUAUAGAACAUAACCAUGAAAGGAAACAUGCAAAUGACCAAACAGUCAUUUUUUCAGAUGAAAACCAGAUGGACCUGACAUCAAGUCACACUGUAAUGAUUACCAAAGGCAUUUUAGAUAAUCCCAAAAGUGAAAAGUCCACCAAGAUAGAUACCACAUCAUUUCUAGCUAAUUUAAAGCUUCACACUGAGGACUCAAGAAUGAAAAAAGAAGUAAAUUUUUCCAUGGAUCAAAACACUUCUUCAGAAAAUAAAAUAGAUUUCAAUGACUUCAUAAAAAGGUUGAAAACAGGAAAAUGUAAUGCUUUUCCUGAUGUGCCUGAUAAAGAAAAUUUUGAGAUACCUGUUUAUUCCAAGGAACCAAAUAGUGCCUCUUCUACACAUCAAAUGCAUAUAUCUCUUAAUGAAGAUGAGAAUAACAGUAAUAUUACUAGGAUCUUUAGAGAAAAAGAUGAUGGGAUGAAUUUCACCCAGUGUCAUACAGCCAAUAUUCAGACAUUGAUUCCCACAUCCAGUGAGACCAACUCACAGGAAUCUAAAGGUAAUGAUAUUACAAUUUAUGGCAAUGACUUUAUGGAUUUGACAUUUAACCACACUUUGCAGAUUUUACCUGCAACAGGUAAUUUUUCUGAAAUAGAAAAUCAAACUCAGAGUGCCAUGGAUGUAACAACAGGUUAUGGAACUAAAGCUUCAGGAAAUAAAACAAUUUUUAAGAGUAAACAAAAUACUGCUUUUCAAGACCUUUCCAUAAACUCUGCAGACAAAAUACAUAUUACCAGAAGUCAUAUUAUGGGGGCAGAAACUCACAUAGUCUCACAGACUUGUAAUCAGGAUGCCGGAAUAUUAGCAAUGACCCCAGAAUCUAUAUGUUCUAAUCCAGCUAUUCAAGGUUGUAAGACUGUUUUCUAUUCUAGUUGUAAUGAUGCCAUGGAAAUGACCAAAUGUCUCUCAAAUAUGAGAGAGGAGAAAAAUUUGCUAAAGCAUGACAGUAAUUAUUCUAAAAUGUAUUGCAAUACAGAUGCUAUGUCUUGUCUCACAGAGGAAACUAUUUAUUCUGGAGAGGAGAACAUGGACAUUACCAAGAGUCAUACAGUUGCAAUAGAUAAUCAAAUUUUUAAACAAGAUCAAUCAGAUGUGCAAAUAGCAGCUGCACCAACACCUGAAAAGGAAAUGAUGCUUCAAAAUCGUAUGACCACAUCAGAAGAUGGGAAAAUGAAUGUAAAUUGUAACUCAGUUCCUCAUGUAUCUAAGGAAAGAAUACAGCAGAGCCUGUCAGAUCCUUUGUCUAUUUCAUUGACUGAUAGAAAGACUGAACUCUUAUCAGGUGAAAAUACGGAUUUGACUGAAAGUCACACAAGUAACUUAGGAAGUCAAGUUCCUCUUGCAACUUAUAAUCUAGCACCGGAGAAUACCAAUGAAUCUCACUCUCAGAGCAAAAGCUCUUCAGAUGAAUGUGAAGAAAUUACCAAAAGUCGUAAUGAACCAUUUCAACGAUCAGACAUAAUAGCCAAAAACAGCUUAACCGACACCUGGAACAAAGACAAAGAUGGGGCUUUGAAGAUUUUGCCCUACCCUGAUAAAGAUUCUCCUCAGUCAGCUGAUUGUAAUCAGGAGAUAGCAACAAGCCAUAAUAUAGUCUACUGUGGUGGAGUUCUUGAUAAACAAAUAGCUAGUAGAAAUACAGUUUCAUGGGAACAAUCUUUGUUUUCUACCACAAAGCCAUUAUUUUCAUCAGGACAGUUCUCUAUGAAAAAUCAUGAUACUGCUAUAAGUAGUCAUACAGUGAAAUCUGUACUAGGCCAGAAUUCUAAACUGGCUGAGCCACUGAGGAAAAGUUUAAGCAAUCCCACACCUGACUAUUGCCAUGACAAGAUGAUUAUAUGUUCAGAGGAAGAGCAAAAUAUGGAUCUAACAAAGAGCCACACUGUUGUCAUUGGAUUUGGUCCUUCUGAACUACAAGAACUUGGUAAAACGAAUUUAGAACACACUACUGGCCAGCUAACAACAAUGAACAGACAGAUAGCUGUAAAAGUUGAAAAAUGUGGAAGAAGUCCCAUAGAAAAAAGUGGAGUACUUAAAUCUAACUCUAUUAUGGAUGUGUUAGAGGACGAAAGUAUACAGAAACCUAAAUUUCCAAAGGAAAAGCAAAAUGUCAAAAUUUGGGGAAGGAAAAGUGUUGGUGGACCAAAAAUCGAAAAGACUAUUGUAUUUUCAGAAGAUGAUAAGAAUGAUAUGGAUAUCACUAAGAGUUAUACAAUAGAAAUAAACCAUAGACCUUUAUUAGAGAAACAUGAUUGUCAUUUGGUGCCAUUGGCAGGAACUUCUGAAACUAUUUUAUGUACAUGUGGGCAGGACGACAUGGAGAUCACUAGAAGUCACACAGCUGCCUUAGAAUGUAAAACUGUCUCACCAGAUGAAAUAACUACUAGGCCUAUGGACAAAACUAUAGUGUUUGUAGAUAAUCAUGUUGAACUAGAAAUGACAAAGUCCCAUACUGUUUUCAUUGACUACCAAGAAAAGGAAAGAAGAGGCAAACCUAACUUUGAACUAUCCCAAAGGAAAAGCCUAGGAACACCAACAGUGAUAUGUACUCCUACUGAGGAGAGUGUUUUCUUUCCAGAAAAUGGUGAAAGUGACCGUCUAGUAGCAAAUGACAGCCAGCUAACCCCUCUGGAGGAAUGGUCUAAUAAUAGGGGCCCUGUAGAGGUAGCUGAUAACAUGGAAUUGUCUAAAUCAGCCACUUGCAAAAACAUCAAAGAUGUACAAAAUCCUGGAUUUCUGAAUGAACCUCUAUCAGGCAAAAGUCAGAGAAGAAAAAGCCUUAAGCUAAAAAAUGACAAGACCAUUGUAUUUUCAGAGAAUGAUAAAAACGAUAUGGAUAUUACCCAGAGUUGUAUGGUGGAAAUAGAUAACGAAAGUGCCCUGGAGGAUAAAGAGGACUUCCAUUUGGCAGGGGCUUCUAAAACUAUUUUGUAUUCAUGUGGGCAGGAUGACAUGGAGAUCACUAGGAGUCACACAACUGCCUUAGAAUGUAAAACUCUCCUGCCAAAUGAAAUAGCUAUUAGGCCCAUGGACAAAACCGUAUUGUUCACAGAUAAUUACAGUGAUCUGGAAGUCACCAAUUCCCAUACUGUUUUCAUUGACUGUCAAGCCACAGAGAAAAUACUUGAAGAGAACCCUAAAUUUGGAAUAGGAAAAGGAAAAAACUUGGGUGUUUCCUUUCCUAAGGAUAAUAGCUGUGUUCAAGAAAUCGCUGAAAAACAAGCACUGGCUGUAGGAAACAAAAUUGUUCUUCACACUGAGCAAAAGCAACAACUCUUUGCUUCUACUAAUAGAACUACUAAUGAAAUCAUCAAAUUUCAUAGUGCUGCUAUGGAUGAAAAGGUCAUAGGGAAAGUUGUAGACCAGGCCUGUACAUUGGAAAAAGCCCAAGUUGAAAGCUGUCAGUUAAAUAAUAGAGAUAGAAGAAAUGUGGACUUUACAAGCAGUCAUGCAACUGCUGUUUGUGGAUCCAGUGAUAAUUAUUCCUGUUUACCAAAUGUUAUUUCCUUUACUGAUAAUUUGGAGGGUAGUGCCAUGCCCUUAUGUGAUAAAGAUGAGGAAAAAGCCAACUAUUGCCCAGUGCAAAAUGAUCUUGCUUAUGCAAAUGAUUUUGCCAGUGAAUAUUACUUGGAAUCUGAGGGACAGCCUCUCUGUGCUCCUUGUCCUUUGUUAGAGAAGGAAGAAGUUGUUCAAACCAGUACCAAAGGACAGUUAGACUGUGUCAUAACACUGCACAAAGAUCAAGAUCUGAUUAAGGAUCCACGAAAUCUAUUGGUUAAUCAAACUUUAGUAUGUAGUCAAGAUCUGGGGGAGAUGACUAAACUUAAUUCAAAGCGAGUAUCUUUUAAGCUUCCAAAGGAUCAAAUGAAAGUCUAUGUUGAUGACAUUUGUGUCAUUCCUCAGCCUCAUUUCUCAACCGACCAACCUCCAUUACCUAAAAAAGGACAGAGUAGUAUCAAUAAAGAUGAAGUAAUACUGUCUAAAGCUGGAAAUAAGAGUUUAAAUAUUAUAGAAAAUUCCUCUGCACCCAUAUGUGAAAACAAGCCCAAAAUACUCAAUAAUGAGGAGUGGUUUGCUGCAGCCUGUAAAAAAGAACUGAAGGAAAAUAUUCAAACAACUAACUAUAAUACAGCUCCAGAUUUCCGCAGUAACUCAGACUUAACUAAGCAAGUCAUUCAAACUCAUAUCAAUGCUGGAGAAGCACCAGAUCCUGUAAUUACAUCUAAUGUUCCAUGUUUUCAUAGUAUCAAACCAAAUCUGAAUAUUUUGAAUGGAAAAACUGAAGAGUUCUUAGCUUUUCAAACUGUUCAUAUACCACCCCUUCCAGAGCAAUUACUUGAAUUAGGAAAUAAGGCACACAAUGAUAUGAGUAUAGUGCAAGCUACAGAAAUACAUAAUAUUAACAUAAUCUCCAGCAAUGCUAAAAAUAGUAGAGAUGAAGAAAAUAAAGAGUCUCAUAAUGGAGCUGAAACCACCUCUCUACCACCAAAGGCAGUUUUUAAAGAUAAAGUAAGGAGAUGUUCUUUGGGAGUCUUUUUGCCUAGAUUGCCCAACAAGAGAAAUUGUAGUGUCACUGGUGUUGAUGACCUGGAACAGAUUCCAGCAGACACAACUGAUUCAAAUCACUUAGAAACUCAGCCAGUCUCUAGCAAAGAUUCAGGCAUUGGAUCUGUUGCAGCUAAACUGAACCUAAGUCCUUCUCAAUAUAUAAAUGAGGAAAAUCUUCCUGUAUAUCCUGAUGAGAUCAAUUCUUCAGACUCUAUUAACAUAGAAAAUGAGGAAAAGGCUUUGAUUGAGACAUACCAAAAAGAGAUUUCACCAUAUGAAAAUAAAAUGGAAAAAACUUGGAAUAGCCAAAAAAGAACGUGGGUACAAGAAGAAGAAGAUAUUCAUAAGGAGAAAAAAAUCAGAAAAAAUGAGAUUAAGUUUGGUGAUACGACACAAGAUGGGGAGGUGAGCUCUGUCUUGAACCAAAGAAUGUUCUUGAAUUUUGGGUUUUGUUUUGUUUUUUUAAAUUGUGGGCAUUCUCAAAUUUUAAUCUUAGUCUCAGGUAGGCAGAAAAUAAUUAUUUCCACUUAUAGGGCUGGAGAAAUAUUCUUAUGUAGAACCUUCAGGAAUUAAUUGACUAACAGCUAGACUUCAAAGCAAUUUAAAGUGACAAAUAGUCACAAAAAAAUUAAAUGGAAAAUUGUACAAAAAGUAGCCAAAGUUAAAAUUGUAUAAUUUCAAAAAUUUCAAAAGGUAUAUACUGUCACCUCUAGUGAUUUGUCAAUUUGGCUUUAUAUAAGAAUCUCUAGGGAGGUUAUAUAUAGCUUGAAAAGUCAUCUUCAGUGUUGUUAUAUUUGGGGAGUAA